rnacentral:lncRNA from 1 species
CCUGACCUCAAGUGAUCUGCCUGCCUUGGCCUCCCCUAGGGCUGGGAUUAUAAGAAUGAGCCACCAGAACCCAGCCAAACUUCCCCCCACCCCGCCUUUUUGUUUUGUUUUGGUUUUUUCUAAUCUCCUGAAGUCAUUCUUUGAGUUGUCAUGUAGAUUAAUGGGUUUCUCAAACUACUAGAAAACUAGUUGAAGAAAUAAACAGGCAGUUUGUGAAUAUUAAACAGAACAGUGGUGCUGAGCAUGGCUAAAGCAUCUCUGCAUUCACAGGGAGAGGAGCGGAAGACCUUCUGGUGUGGGCUGGGCAGCAAUUCACUUGAAGGAGAAACAGCCCGGGUGUGGAGAGGCGGCUGUCCUUGGAGGGAUCCUUUCUAAGGAGCCGAGAAAUCAACGUAGAGCUUCCUCUAUCUGAUUCUCUAACAACUGCAGACCUUCCAUGAGUCAAGCUUUGUGUCAAAAGGACAAAUUAAAAGGACCUAUAAAAGGCAUCACCAAGCCCAGUGGACAGAUGCCCCAGGCUGCACAUUCUGUCAGUGCUGUUCUGGAAAAGGCCCAAACACAUGCUGAAACAUGGAAGAACUCAUUUAUGUAUCUCAUUUGAUCUCAUCACAACCUGAGACACAGGUCAUAAUAGAGACUUCGGGGCUCAUUUUAUACCCGGUGAACCAGCCAACUUUCAUGCAGUUGAGAAAAGUAUAAGAAGCCAGCCCUCGGGAACCACCAGGAGCCAGGAGCACCCCGGCCCCGCAGGGCCCCAAGUUCAGCCUGCCCCAACCCCUCUGGUGCAGAGUUCCUGGGACACCAUCUGCAGCCCCGCCACGCCCCUCAAAGUCAAGGGCACAGGCGGCUGGGGCUUCCCCGCCCGCCCGACGACUUCCUGCUGCCCCAGCAGCCGCCACAGUCACCACCACGGCCCCUGGACGACCCAGAGCUCCUGCUGCCGCCCCCUGACUUCAUGGAGGCGCCCCAGGACUUCGUGCCCCCUCCCCCUGCUGUCGCCAAGAGGCCUCCUAUGCCCCACCCCCACAAGAGGCACGAAGCAUCAAUGUUCAGAUGCCGCAAAUGAAUAAAAUAAAUGAAUAAAAAAAAAAAAAAAAAAAAAAAAAAAAAAAAAAAA